AGAGUUUGAUCAUGGCUCAGAACGAACGCUGGCGGCAGGCCUAACACAUGCAAGUCGAGCGCCCCGCAAGGGGAGCGGCAGACGGGUGAGUAACGCGUGGGAAUCUACCCAUCCCUACGGAACAACUCCGGGAAACUGGAGCUAAUACCGUAUACGCCCUUCGGGGGAAAGAUUUAUCGGGGAUGGAUGAGCCCGCGUUGGAUUAGCUAGUUGGUGGGGUAAUGGCCUACCAAGGCGACGAUCCAUAGCUGGUCUGAGAGGAUGAUCAGCCACACUGGGACUGAGACACGGCCCAGACUCCUACGGGAGGCAGCAGUGGGGAAUAUUGGACAAUGGGCGAAAGCCUGAUCCAGCCAUGCCGCGUGAGUGAUGAAGGCCCUAGGGUUGUAAAGCUCUUUCAACGGUGAAGAUAAUGACGGUAACCGUAGAAGAAGCCCCGGCUAACUUCGUG
rnacentral:rRNA from 1 species